UUAGUUAUCAUAUACCAUGCUCUGGUAUAUAUAGGGAUCUCAAUGCAGUGUGCCGAUUAACUUAUUCAUAAAAGCCAAGAAUAUGACAAUGAAAUAUUAUGUCUUGAAGCUAGUAAGUUUGUUACUAAUGGCCCUGAUGUUUUACAUAGAAGGAGCAUUUGGAAGUACCCCGCCUUGUUGUUUCUAUGAUCCUGACUGCUGCCAACGCACCCUUCGCCUAGCUGGUAUGAACGUUGUUGUCCCGAACCUCAAACCACCACCACUGCAAACUUGACCUGUUAAAUGUGUGUAUGUGUCGAUGAGAAUAACUGUAUGUGCAGGAAGAUAAAGUUUAUGUAUGCACAUCUUGAUAAAUAAAUAAACUAUGCAUUUCACGAUC
rnacentral:lncRNA from 1 species